rnacentral:rRNA from 1 species
GCCUCAGUAACGGCGAGUGAAGCGGCAAGAGCUCAAAUUUGAAAUCUGGCCCCUUUGGGGUCCGAGUUGUAAUUUGCAGAGGAUGCUUCGGGUGCGGUCCCCGUCUAAGUGCCCUGGAACGGGCCGUCAUAGAGGGUGAGAAUCCCGUCUGGGAUGGGCGGCCGCGCCCGUGUGAAGCUCCUUCGACGAGUCGAGUUGUUUGGGAAUGCAGCUCUAAGCGGGUGGUAAAUUUCAUCUAAAGCUAAAUACUGGCCGGAGACCGAUAGCGCACAAGUAGAGUGAUCGAAAGAUGAAAAGCACUUUGAAAAGAGAGUUAAACAGCACGUGAAAUUGUUGAAAGGGAAGCGUUGUCCACCAGACUCGCCCGGGGGGGUUCAGCCGGCACGUGUGCCGGUGUACUCCUCUCCGGGCGGGCCAGCAUCGGUUUGGGCGGCUGGUGAAAGGCCCCGGGAAUGUAACACCCUUCGGGGUGCCUUAUAGCCCGGGGUGCCAUACAGCCAGCCUGGACCGAGGCCCGCGCUUCGGCGAGGAUGCUGGCGUAAUGGUGGUCAACGGCCCGUCUUGAAACACGGACCAAGGAGUCUAACAUCUAUGCGAGUGUUCGGGUGUCAAACCCGUCCGCGCAGUGAAAGCGAACGGAGGUGGGAGCCCCUCGGGGCGCACCAUCGACCGAUCCUGAUGUCUUCGGAUGGAUUUGAGUAAGAGCAUAGCUGUUGGGACCCGAAAGAUGGUGAACUAUGCCUGAAUAGGGCGAAGCCAGAGGAAACUCUGGUGGAGGCUCGCAGCGGUUCUGACGUGCAAAUCGAUCGUCAAAUUUGGGUAUAGGGGCGAAAGACUAAUCGAACCAUCUGGUAGCUGUUU